AAACAACUAUAAAUGAAUCAAAACUUUUAACAACGGAUCUCUUGGUUCUGGCAUCGAUGAAGAACGCAGCGAAAUGCGAUAAGUAAUGUGAAUUGCAGAAUUCAGUGAAUCAUCGAAUCUUUGAACGCACAUUGCGCCCGCUGGUAUUCCAGCGGGCAUGCCUGUUCGAGCGUCAUUU
rnacentral:rRNA from 1 species